GUGAUAGAAUUUGGUUGGUCAGCUUUUCAAUUGUAUACAUCAAAUAUGUGCCCUACCACCCAUUUACUCUCCAUCGUUUGCCCCUCCUGACUGUAGAUACUUUAAUAUAACCAUGUCUCAUCUCCAUGCCUGUUCCUUAGGCCUGACUUCACACACCCAGAUCAAAACAAAACUGAAUCUCUUCCUUUUAUCUAAGCACUUCCCAGCAACCUACUAAAUAUAUA